GAAUCCAGAAUUCUUUCCCAUAAAACGUGUCGACAGCGUUGUCGUUUUCCAUGAUUUUGCCCUUUUUCUGAUCUUGAAGAACAAAAGAAGAAGACGACAUGGGAGGCGCUCCAUCCGUCGCGACAGGUGCUAUGCUUUUUUCGUCCACUGCCCGGACGACAAUUGGAUAUCAUAGGCCUGACCCUGGAAUGUUGAUCGCUAAUCCACCAUUUCCUGGAGCAGAACUGCCUGGAAUAGGGGGGAUGCUGGCGCCUGACGCAGCAGCAGGGUCCGCUGGUUCUGCUGCAGUUGUCGCCGGUCAAGUGAUGAGACUCUUCUGAGUUACAAAGGAGUGUUUUAAAAGUCUCCUAUUUCAAAUAGUCAGAUACAGUUCUCAAAAUGACCACCAUUCAUUUCAGUCUCAGCUAGAUGGAUUUAUUAUUACUGAAAGUUCUCAAACAAAAUAAGUAUUCGUUUGAAAGACCCUUGGUUACAUCAUCAUUGCCAGAUUAACCAGAAUGAUGUUUGUGUUAUGCCUCAAUUGUGGUCAAAAAUAAAACAUUCUGAUAAUGUA